CUUUUGUGAAUAAGGAAUCAGAAGGCAGACAUAAGUGGACAGAGCGGCACCGUACUUUCUGACCAUAGAACCUGGGAGGAUAACAAGGGCACAAGUCAGGAGCUGUCAGUGUUCAUUUCCAUCCCACUGCAGAUCAUUAGCUGGACAUAACGGCUCACAGCCCUUUCUGCUCAGGCCAAGGAUCUAAGCCUGUCUUCAGGGAGAAUGGCUCUCAGGAGCCUGGGAAGGCAUACUGGGAAAUAAAAAAUACCUAAAUAUUGGAAGUCACAGCUGAGUUCUGAGCAAAGCCAGGCUCUGAUAAGUAGGGCCAGAUGAAGAAACUGAGGCCCAGGGAGGCUUGAAUGACAUGUCUAAAUUCCUACAUAUAUGGGUAUGCACCUGUGGUAGGAUUUUUUCCCAGGACCUCUGACUUGAGAACCACAAUACUUUUAUACUGUGCCAUGUUGUUCCUAAAAGAAGGGAUGGAGAUUCUAUUUUCUGGGAGGAGCUUUAUAAGAAUCUCUGCAAUGGAAAGGUGUCUUAUUAAAAACCUGCCUUUCUCCAAUGUUUCUUUCAAGUGGUCUAUAUCAGGUGCCCUUCCCAACAUUCUGGCUACCAAGGCAUUAACGCUUUCUAAUCUCCGUGAGGAGGUCACAUUCCUGAACUGGAAUUUGAGCACUCUGGCUGAG